UACGUAGGGUGCAAGCGUUGUCCGGAAUUAUUGGGCGUAAAGGGCUCGUAGGCGGUCCAUCGCGUCGGGAGUGAAAAGCUGGGGCUUAACCCCAGUCCUGCUUCCGAUACGGGUGGACUAGAGGUAGGUAGGGGAGAACGGAAUUCCUGGUGUAGCGGUGAAAUGCGCAGAUAUCAGGAGGAACACCGGUGGCGAAGGCGGUUCUCUGGGCCUUACCUGACGCUGAGGAGCGAAAGCAUAGGGAGCAAACAGG
rnacentral:rRNA from 1 species